UUCGGGCAUGAGAAGUCACAGGGCCGUUUCCUAGUCUCUCUCUUCACUUCUUUGGGUCUUCUCAGAGAAAGAAGGCUGCCGUGGGUGGGCUGGGGGCGGAGACUAUCGGGAAGAGAAAAUUACUUUUCCCACUAAAAUACACCAAGUAUAUGCCCAGCCUUCAUGAAAGUGAACAGAGAAACAAAGCGCCUUUAUGUGGGUGGCCUUAGCCAGGACAUUUCUGAGGCAGACCUACAAAAUCAGUUCAGCAGAUUUGGAGAAGUUUCGGAUGUGGAGAUCAUCACACGGAAAGAUGACCAAGGAAACCCACAGAAAGUUUUUGCAUAUAUCAACAUCAAUGUAGCAGAAGCGGACCUGAAAAAAUCCAUUUUUUACGUUAUCCAGAGGGACAGCAGUGAUCAAGAGAAUUCCAGUAUCGUAUAACUCAGCAGGUUUAGGUCCAUUCCAUUUGGCAUCAGCGGACAUGGUAGCACUUUGCUGGUGGGUUUACUUAAAACUGCUAUUCUCAAAUAUUUUGGACAAGGGACCAGACUUUCAUAGAAACUGCCUGUUACGUAUAUCCCACUGAAUAUUAUGCCACAUUCCCCCUCAGUCUGAUCAUUUCUUUGACAGCUAAUCCUUGUCACUAAACACUCUUGAGGGGGCUUUACAAUACACCCUUGUAAGACCAUAUCCUUGAAAUUGUGAAAUCUCUUGUUGAUAAGUUUAAUAAAGUCAAGGGCAAACAGUGGCCUUCAAUGAAGAAUGGGAGAUAAUCCAUACUGCCACUGACACAGUAACAUAUUCUAGUUAUUUGGAGGCCAAAAAGUGAAAAAAGACAUGGAAAAUAAGUAAAGGGAACAUGCUAAUAGAGGAAGAGGGCAAUC
rnacentral:sRNA from 1 species